UACUAUAAAGGGGAGUAUUACCCUUUAUGCAGUGUCUAAAGAAGGGUGCA
rnacentral:ncRNA from 1 species